AUUGAACGCUUGCGGCAGGCCUAACACAUGCAAGUCGAGCGGAGCGGCGGACGGGUGAGUAAUGCAUAGGAAUCUGCCUGGUAGUUGGGGAUAACGUCCGGAAACGGGCGCUAAUACCGCAUACUAUCAGAUGAGCCUAGGUCGGAUUAGCUAGUGGGUGGGGUAAAGGCCUACCAAGGCGAAGAUCCGUAACUGGUCUGAGAGGAUGAUCAGUCACACUGGAACUGAGACACGGCCCAGACGCCUACGGGAGGCAGCAGUGGGGAAUAUUGCACAAUGGGCGCAAGCCUGAUGCAGCCAUGCCGCGUGUAUGAAGAAGGCCGUAGGGUUGUAAAGUACUUUCAGCGGGGAGGCGUUACCCGCAGAAGAAGCACCGGCUAACUCCGUGCCAGCCGCCGCGGUAAUUC
rnacentral:rRNA from 1 species